rnacentral:rRNA from 1 species
UACGUAGGGGGCAAGCGUUGUCCGGAAUCAUUGGGCGUAAAGAGCGCGUAGGCGGCCCUGUAAGUCCGCUGUGAAAGUCAAGGGCUCAACCCUUGGAUGCCGGUGGAUACUGCAGGGCUAGAGUCCGGAAGAGGCGAGUGGAAUUCCUGGUGUAGCGGUGAAAUGCGCAGAUAUCAGGAGGAACACCGAUGGCGAAGGCAGCUCGCUGGGACGGUACUGACGCUGAGGCGCGAAAGCGUGGGGAGCAAACAG